GGCUCCUGAAUUGGGACGACCUUGGUGGGGCUACUCAAUUAGGUCUUAGCCCCGCCUAUGGCUCCAUUUGAUUGCAAUCUGACUUGAUUUUUCUGCUCUCUCCCCCAGAAAUUCCCAGGAAUGGAAACACCCAGCAGCCCCUUCCACCAACAUUGUUUGUCUCUUCUGAUGUUGCCCUCAAUGCUCUGACUCUGCACAUUGUAUUUCUGCUAACUUCAUCUUACCUACAAAACAGACAUUUCCCCCCUUCCACUGCAAUAGAUACCCCUUUCCAUCGAAACUACACCAGAGGUGUAAUGAGAUCAUUGAUGUGAACGAAACACAGUACCAGCAUACAGCGGCUGUGGAAAGCAGACAAUGCCUAUCUGACUCAGCUGUAAAGGACUGUAUCGGAUGCUGGCUGUUGCCCACAACCAUCACAUAAAGCUGAUGAUCACCUUGGACCUGCCUCAGUAGCCCUCAAAUUGGUGCGGGGCUGUCCUGCAGAUGGCGCUGUGGCACGAAUAAUCGUGCUCUCCAUAAAGCUGGGCAGCUGCCCUUAGAUCCCAGGGUUUUGGCUAUAUAGAACAGUGAGAAGAUCCCUGCCUCCGAGGAUGCAGACAUGAAGAUUGGCUGGAGGAGGCCCAAGUGUUGUGCAGUCGCUGGCAGCCGCCAUUCGCUCUCAACCUCCAGAAGAGCAGCAUUUUUAGAUUCCACAUACGAGCGAGAUCACGUGGGACUCGUCUUUCGGUGUCUGGCGUAAUGUAACCAUCUCCUGUUCCAUCCACGUUGGAUGACAGAAUUUCAUUCUGUUUUUAGGAACACCUCGUCUUCCAUGAUAUGUAUGUGCCACGUUUUCUUUACCCACUUGAUGGACACGUAGCUGUUUCCAUUUCUUGGCUGCUAUGAAUGGCACCGCAAUAAAAACGGGAGUGCGGAUCCUCUCCAA